rfam:Myotis brandtii contig253365, whole genome shotgun sequence.
GGCAGUUCUCGGGUGACACACCCUGGAAUUAGGCUCCCUCCUCUCUGGUUCCAGGUGCAUCACCCAAGAACUGCA